UACGUAGGGUGCGAGCGUUAUUCGGAAUUACUGGGCGUAAAGCGUGCGCAGGCGGUCCGCAAAGUCUGAUGUGAAAGCCCCGGGCUCAACCUGGGAACUGCAUUGGAAACUAACGGGCUCGAGUGUGGCGGAGGGGGGUGGAAUUCCACGUGUAGCAGUGAAAUGCGUAGAGAUGUGGAGGAACACCGAUGGCGAAGGCAGCCCCCUGGGCUAACACUGACGCUGAUGCGCGAAAGCCAGGGGAGCGAACGGG
rnacentral:rRNA from 1 species